UACAGAGGUCCCAAGCGUUGUUCGGAUUUAUUGGGCGUAAAGGGUGCGUAGGCGGCGGAGUAAGUUGGGUGUGAAAUCCCGGGGCUCAACCUCGGAAUUGCAUUCAAUAGUGCUUCGCUCGAGUACUGGAGAGGAGACUGGAAUUUACGGUGUAGCAGUGAAAUGCGUAGAUAUCUGGAGGAAAACCGGUGGCGAAGGCGGCGUCCUGGACCAACACUGACACUGAGGAGCGAAAGCCAGGGGAGCAAACGGG
rnacentral:rRNA from 1 species